AUUGAACGCUAGCGGGAUGCCUAACACAUGCAAGUCGAACGGAGCGGCGAACGGGUGAGUAAUGCAUAGGAAUCUGCCCGGUAGCGGGGGAUAACUACCCGAAAGCGGAGCUAAUACCGCAUACUAUCGGAGUGGCCGAAGUCGGAUUAGCUAGUGGGUGGGGUAAAGGCUCACCAAGGCGACGAUCCGUAGCUGGUUUGAGAGGACGACCAGCCACACUGGAACUGAGACACGGCCCAGACUCCUACGGGAGGCAGCAGUGGGGAAUUUUGGACAAUGGGGGAAACCCUGAUCCAGCCAUCCCGCGUGUGUGAUGAAGGCCUUCGGGUUGUAAAGCACUUUUGGCAGGGAAGCGGUACCUGCAGAAUAAGCACCGGCUAACUACGUGCCAGCAGCCGCGGUAAUUC
rnacentral:rRNA from 1 species